rnacentral:tRNA from 1 species
GUAAAUAUAGUUUAAAUAAAACCUUAGAUUGUGAUUCUAAAAACAGACGUUAAAAUCGUCUUAUUCACC